rnacentral:rRNA from 1 species
GUAGGGAGCAAGCGUUGUUCGGGAAUUAUUGGGGCGUAAAGAGCGCGUAGGCGGCUAGGCAAGUCUGAUGUGAAAUCCCACAGCUCAACUGUGGAACUGCAUUGGAAACUGCUUAGCUGGAGUGCGGGAGAGGAGAGUGGAAUUCCCAGUGUAGAGGUGAAAUUCGUAGAUAUUGGGAGGAACACCGGUGGCGAAGGCGGCUCUCUGGACCGCAACUGACGCUGAGGCGCGAAAGCUAGGGGAGCGAACGGGAUUAGAUACCCCGGUAGUCCUAGCCGUAAACGAUGGGCACUAGGUGUGGGAGGUAUCGACCCCUUCUGUGCCGCAGCUAACGCAUUAAGUGCCCCGCCUGGGGAGUACGGUCGCAAAGACUA